GACCAUGUGGCCUAAUGGAUAAAGGGCGUCAGACUUCGAAUCAGAAGAUUCAGUCCGAGUCCGAGUCCCUUCAUGGUUA